rnacentral:lncRNA from 1 species
CAGCCUCUGAAGCCUGCUCCUGGUCCUCCUCUUGGACACGUCCUUGCUCGGGGAUGAGCACGUACUCUCCGUCGGCAAGAUUACAAUCUAAUAAAUGCAAUGCGUAAAAUAUAUGCAUGAUAUGAAAUGUGCUUUUAGAAAUCACAACUUUAAAGGUGCAUGAUUUUUUUUCUUGAGUUAAAUAAGGUUAACUUUACUUAUGUAAGUCUCUUGUGUGGUAUACUUGGUAAAUUGGUUUAAACUUAGCUAAGGUAAGUAGAUUAAAUUUUGGGGUUCCACUAAGUUCCUUUUAAGUCUUAGUGAGAAUUGAUAAGUACUCAAGUUAGACUUAUGGGGAUGGGGUUUGUUUCUUCUUUCCUUUUCUUUUAUUCUCUUUAAUGUUUUGGAGUAGGUUUGAACUACAAGUUGCUUUUAUAAAAUUCUAAAAACUCUGCAAAAAUUACAGUGGCUUGUUACUGGUGUAUGUUUCUCUGUCUCAAAAUUUGGGGAUCAGAAAGUGAAUAGUUUUCUCUGGACAAAAUUAUUAAAUUCUAGGGCAGAAGGGGUGCUUUGAACUACAACUAUUAUUUAACAGUGAGUAAUUCUCUAAAACUCAUUUUUGCUGGCUUUUAGGUGUUAUAACAUGACUUGAUACAAAUUUCUAAUCAUUAAUACCUUUUAAUUAUUUUUCUAUGGUUUUCUCAAGUUUCUAGCCAAAUGGGUGCUUUCUACUACCACUAUACUUGAAAAACAUCAAACAACAGAGUUCUUAUUUUUCUUGGUUAUUAUUUUGUGCAAGAGCAAUCAUUCUGAGGUUUGGCCUCUUUUUGCUUAAGGGAAGGGGUGGUAUGCAUUAUUUGAAUUAAGUGGCCUUUCUCAUAAAAUACUAGCAAUAGGUAAGAGUUUGCUUCUUUUGCAUGGGUUUGCAUUUUUCUCUGGUGGUUUAUCUCAUUAUGGACUUAGCUAAUUUUUGGUUGCCCAUUAUCACAUUAUUAGGGGUUGUUCAUGAUUUAUUUGGAAAAUGCCUUAUUAUCACUUUAUAUUUAUUUUCCUUACUUAAAAAGUUGGGCUGAGGUGCUCUUUAUUUUUGUAGUGGGGCUCUGGUGGUUGUAAGUCCACUGGAUUUUUAUUAAUCAUUUUGGUUAUAGUUUUGCUACUCUAAUAAUUGAUUCUCAGUCCAAAUAAGGCUAAAUAAAUCAUUUUAAUUUAAAACUGGUCCAAAUUAAUGGUCUCUGUAUUUUUCCUAGGUUCUCUGUUACAUAAGUAAACUAGGAAAAAUAAUCUUAAUCACUGUUCAUUAAUUUCUAAUGCCUUUCUGAUUUUCUCUAAGUUUUGGACAAAAUAGCUUUAAAUGAAUAACUACAUCAUAAUUUUUAAUGCUGGGGUUCCUACUAUUUUUAAACAAUGUCUAAAUGAGGUUUGAACACCUACAAAUUUUCUUAAAUUCAGCACAGAAGAAAAACUAAUUUUACUUAAUUAAACAAGGUUUGGUGGGUUUCUGUUUUUAAUUUAAAACUCUAAAAAUUAGAACAGAAAGCAUAGGGUUUACUAUUUUUAAAUGACAGUUCAUAAUUUUCAGGAGCUAGCAAAAUUGGUUUGACAACCUUUUAUGAAGAAUUCAUCAAGUUAUGGGUUUUCUAAGUUCUCUGGUCAUUUAAAAAGAUUUAACAGAAUUGAUUUAAUGGAAAUCCACUUUGCACUGGGGUCCUUGGCGGGUUUUUAAGUUUUCCUCGCGAAUCAGUCCUUAAGCUACUAUUCACAUGAGUCACUGACGUUACAGAAAACCCCUCGGGUUCUACAAAUCCUAACCUGAGGUCCUUCUUCUACCUUAAACAGUAACCGCGGCGGAAGAAAGGGCGGAGGGGCUUACCGGCGGCGAGAUGGCUCCGGUGAAGUGGUCGAGGACGUAGGGGAGGUCUCGGGGAUCACAACGGUGUGUGGGUCGCCGUCGGGGAUGGCCGGAGUCGGUCGGUCCACGCGCGCAGGCGAGGAUGCUCGUCGGCGGCGAGGAGUCCGGCCAGGUCACAGCGAGAUAGAGUAAUUGGAUGGGUCAGAGAGGUUCACGGGGUGCCAGAGAAGACAUGAGCGCAAGGAAUUGGGCGGAGACUCACUGGAUAGCUCGGUCCACGCGCGGCGGCGGAAGACCGAAGUCCGGUGAGGUCGAUCUCGGGCCUCCGGUGAAGUCCGGCCGGGUCCGAGGGCUUGGCAAGCUUCACGGGCUACUGGCGGAGCUAGCCGAAGCACUGGCUUGCCCAGAGGAUGGCUGGAGUGGGCUGGCCAGGAUGGCCGAAGCUCUGGCGGCAAUGGCGGGCGGAAUUGAGCUCGCCGGAGCUAAAGGAAAGUGGCUGGCCGGUGAGGGUGAGUGCGAGGCGAAGUGGGGCGCGCCUGGGAAGGCUUUAUAGGCACGGCGCGGUGCACGGGCGGUCGUGGACCGGCGAGCGCGCGCGGGCGUGCACUGGGAGGCGCGGUGCGCGAACGGGCGUGAACCGGGGGUGUCACCCACGGUCGAACACGUGUUCCCGUUGCCUCUGCCCCUGUUCAAGCGCCGAUUGGGAGCAAAUCUUCGCGAAUUUGGGCAAGAUCGCUGUGAAGGAUUUGUUCACCUGACCAAGCUUUGUCUUUUGUGUAUGGACGUUGCGCGGUUUUAGGCUAGGGACAGGGAGUUGUAGCGUCACCAAGGUGCCAGUGUCAGAAUGCCUGGUCCCGAGGUCAAACUGCGCCAAAACCGUGUCAAAUGAAUUUGGUUUGAGUUCAAACUUUUCCAGGAUGUGUUCAAGGGAAUUUGGCACAACUUUGAUAUUUGGAUCUCCUGGCUUUGAGUUUUGAAAAACAGAGAACGCAGAUGAUCUUUGGGAAGAGGUCUGAAAUUCAGAAAUCUGAAUUUCUCCAAGGGUCCAUAGUUCAAGGGCUGAUUUGGGGAUUUAUUUGAGUUAUUUUGGCUAAGCUUUCUCAAUCUUUCUUGUUGCUCAUUAAACAUACUUUAAUUUUUAUAAAUGGCUCAAGUUAUAAUUUUAAACUUUUCAUACCCUUUUUCUUAUUUUCUUUAAUUUUUGCUCAUGGGGCUCACUUAGGGUUUCUAUUAGGGUUGCACAUUCUUACCUUUUUAAAAGACUCAAUUGUUUUGAUCAUGAUACUUUUAAGUAUAUACUUGGUGAAUUCUUUAUUUCUUAAGUUAAUUUGAUGCUCAUGCUUACUUUGAUUCACAUGAAAUAAUGGUUCUUGGGUUGGUAUUUGAGAGAAACCUUAGGUGAUACUGGGGUGUCACAUCAGGCUACUGGGAACAAGACCGGCGUCCCAUCUGGCUCGCCCCGGUAAACAAAUAAUGAUGGCGCCCCGCAUGCUCCAUGACGACGGCGGCUCUCAGCCCCUUACGGAAGCAAGGAGACGUCAGCAAGGACUCGACAGCCCCGACAGCUGUCCUUCCGCAAGGCUCCAACACUCCUCCGACGGCCACAACAUCACAUGAACAGGGUGCCAAAACCUCUCUAGCUGCCACGACGGCAUGUACUUAGGGCGCUAGCUCCUCUCUGCUAGACACGUUAGCACAUUGCUACACUCCCCAUUGUACACCUGGACCCUCUCCUUACGCUUAUAAAAGGAAGGUCCAGGGCUCUCUUACGAGAAGGUUGGCCGCGCGGAAGAGGACGGGACGGCGCGUGCACGCCUCUCGCUCCCUCCACGCGGACGCUUGUAACACCCUACUGCAAGCGCACCCGACCUGGGCACAGGACAACACGAAGGCCGCGGGUUUCCCCUUUUUACGCCUGUCUCCCUCUAGCUUCCCCCCUUCGUCCUCCGUCUCGCGCCGACCCAUCUGGGCUGGGGCACGCGACGACAGUUUACUCGUCGGUCCAGGGACCCCCCGGGGUCGAAACGCCGACAGUUGACGCGCCAGGUAGGGGCCUGCUGCGUGUUGACGAACAGCUUCCCAUCAAGCUCCAGAUGGGUAGUCUCCAGCAACCUUUCUAGCCCGGGAUGGUGCUCCGUUUCGGGAGUCUUGAGUUCAUGUCCCUCGACGGCAGCUACGACAUGAUACUCCUUCCUCCGCCGCGCGACAGCGACAAUGGCGGUCGACAACCCGCCCGCCGCCGGCAGAAUCAACGACGUCUUCCCCACGUGGCGGAAGAACAACAUUCGGGUUUGUCCCGUCGCCUCCCCCGCCGACGGAGGAGGAGGCGGGGCAACCAAGGUCAAGCAGGAGGCGGCACCUCGUCGGCUGUCGAGCAAGUCGACGGCGCCGGCGCCCCAACAGGGACACGUCGGGCGUCGACCUCGCGUCUGAGACGAAGACGAGUGUCGUUUCCUCGCAACACGCCAACUCCAAGCGGACAUCGACGCCAGCACGCUCGCGAAGGACUUGCUGAGCGUCGCCCUCGUACCUGAGACGACGGUGCAGUCCGCCCCCGACGCGACUUCAUCACCGCCCGUCGACCAAGAGGUACCGACCGGUCCCCAUCUCGUGCCUUUUAGAUCCAGCUGCGACCCACCAAGCAACCCCGCUUUGGUGGACGCUUUAAUAAAGGCAUGUUCAAACCCUCCGGGGUAUCGUAUGCGGUCACCCUGGGACCGGCUGACGGCCGUCUCGACCUAUGGACCCUCGGGUUCCGAGGAAGAUGACGAGCCCGACUUUUGUUGGGAUUUCUACGGACUCGGUAACCCCAGUGCCAUGCGGGACUUCAUGACCGCAUGCGACUACUGCCUUUCCGACUGUUCCGACGGUAGCCGCAGCUUCGGCGACGAGGACUGUGGCCUAAGUCGUGAAUGUUUCCACGUCGAUCUAGGGGGUCCCGGCGAAGGCAACCAUCUUGGUAUACCAGAAAACUGUGAUCCCCCUAGGCCUGCGCCUCGCGUUGACAUCCUUCGGGAGCUAGCUGUGGUCCCAGUCCCUGCGGGGGGUCAGGACGCACAGCUCGAGCAAAUCCGCGAGAUGCAGCCCAGGCUCGACGAGGGAGCAGGAACACUUGAGCUGUUCUGCCGGGACAUUGGGCAGGAAUGGGCAGGCCAAGCUCCGGCCGGAGAAGCGCGUCAUCUACCUAGGGCAUCCAGCACCGCAUUGCCGACGACGUCAGGGCAAGGCCGCCACCGGCUUCUAGUGGGGUCGGCCAGAACCUGGCUGCGACAGCGAUACUACUCCGCGCGAUGCCGGAACCAUCAACCACCGAAGGGCGGUGUAUCCAGGGAGAGCUCAAGAAUCUCCUGGUGGACGCCGCGGUCCGACGGGCCGAAAGCUCUGCCUCCCGAAGGCAGGGGUACCCCUCGGAGCAUCGCGCCGCGACUUCCCGAUUCAUGCGGGAAGCCUUGGUCCACACCGGGCGCACGCGCAACACAGAGCCUGCGGCCCCGGGUCGCCUCGGCAACGAGCACCACCACCGCAACCGUCGAACCCACCUCGACGAGAGGGUGCGCCGAGGCUACCACCCCAGGCAUGGGGGACUCUACGACAGCGAGGAGGAUCGGAGUCCCUCGCCCGAACCACCCGGUCCGCAGGCUUUCAGCCGGGCCAUACGACGGGCGCCGUUCCCGACCCGGUUCUGAACCCCGACUACUAUCACAAAGUACUCGGGGGAGGCGAGGCUGGAACUGUGGCUCGCGGACUACUGGCUGGCCUGCCACCUGGGUGGAAUGGACGAUGACAACCUCAUCAUCCGCAACCUCCCCCUGUUCCUCUCCGACACCGCUCGAGCCUGGCUGGAGCACCUGCCUCCGGGGCAGAUCUCCAACUGGGACGACCUGGUCCAAGCCUUCGUCGGCAACUUCCAGGGCACGUAUGUGCGCCCUGGGAACUCCUAGGAUCUCCGAAGCUGCCGCCAGCAGCCGGGAGAGUCUCUCCGGGACUACAUCCGGCGAUUCUCGAAGCAGCGCACCGAGCUGCCCAACGUCACCGACUCGGAUGUCAUCGGCGCGUUCCUCGCCGGCACCACCUGCCGCGACCUGGUGAGCAAGCUGGGUCACAAGACCCCCACCAGGGCGAGGGAGCUGAUGGACAUCGCCACCAAGUUCGCCUCUGGCCAGGAGGCGGUUGAGGCCAUCUUCCGGAAGGACAAGCAGCCCCAGGCCCGCCAGCCGGAAGAUGUCCCCGAGGCGUCCACUCAGCGCGGCACCAAGAAGAAAGGCAAGAAGAAGUCGCAAGCAAAACGCGACGCCGCCGACGCGGACCUUGUCGCCGCCGCUGAGUACAAGAACCCUCGGAAACCUCCCGGAGGUGCCAAUCUCUUCGACAAGAUGCUCAAGGAGCCGUGCCCCUAUCAUCAGGGGCCCGUCAAGCACACCCUUGAGGAGUGCGCCAUGCUUUGACGCCACUUUCACAAGGUCGGACCACCUGCGGAAGGUGGCAGGGCCCACAACAACGACAAAAGGGAGGAUCACAAGGCAGAGGAGUUCCCCGAGGUCCACGACUGCUUCAUGAUCUACGGUGGGCAAGUGGCGAACGCCUCGGCUCGGCACCGCAAGCAAGAGCGUUGGGAGGUCUGCUCGGUAAAGGUGGCGGCGCCAGUCUACCUAGACUGGUCCGACAAGCCCAUCACCUUCGACCAGGGCGACCACCCCGACCGCGUGCCGAGUCCGGGGAAAUACCCGCUCGUUGUCGACCCCGUCAUUGGCAACGUCAGGCUCACCAAGGUCCUCAUGGACGGAGGCAGCAGCCUCAACAUCAUCUACGCCGAGACCCUCGGGCUCCUGCGGAUCGAUCUGUCCUCGGUCCGGGCAGGCGCGACGCCUUUUCAUGGGAUCAUUCCCAGGAAGCGCGUUCAGCCCCUCGGACAACUCGAUCUGCCCGUCUGCUUCGGGACUCCCUCCAACUUCAGAAGGGAAACCCUCACGUUCGAGGUGGUCGGGUUCUGAGGAACCUACCACGCAGUGCUGGGGAGGCCAUGCUACGCCAAGUUCAUGGCCGUCCCCAACUACACCUACCUCAAGCUCAAGAUGCUGGGCCCCAACGGGGUCAUCACCGUCGGCCCCACGCACCGACACAAGUACGAAUGCGACGUGGAGUGCGUGGAGUACGCUGAGGCCCUUGCUGAAUCCGAGGCCCUCAUCGCCGACCUGGAGAGCCUCUCCGAGGAGGCGCCAGACGUGAAGCGCCAUGCCAGCAACUUCAAGCCAGCAGAGACGGUUAAGUCCGUCCCUCUCGACCCCAGCAACGACGCCUCCAAGCAGAUCCGGAUCGGCUCCGAGCUCGACCCCAAAUAGGAAGCAGUGCUCGUCGACUUUCUCCGCGCAAACGCCGACGAUUUCGUGUGGAGUCCCUCGGACAUGCCUGGCAUACCGAGGGAUGUCGCCGAGCACUCGCUGGAUAUCCGAGCUGGAGCCCGACCCGUGAAGCAGCCUCUGCGCCAAUUCGACGAAGAAAAGCGCAGAGCCAUAGGCGAGGAGAUCCACAAGCUGAUGGAGGCAGGGUUCAUCAAAGAGGUAUUCCAUCCCGAAUGGCUCGCCAACCCUGUGCUUGUGAGAAAGAAAGGAAAGAAAUGGCGGAUGUGUGUAGACUACACUGGUCUAAACAAAGCCUGUCCAAAAGUUCCCUACCCUCUGCCUCGCAUCGAUCAAAUCGUGGAUUCCACUGCUGGGUGCAAAACCCUGUCUUUCCUCGAUGCCUACUCAGGGUAUCAUCAAAUCAGGAUGAAAGAGUCCGACCAGCUCGCGACUUCUUUCAUCACACCUUUUGGCAUGUAUUGCUACGUUACUAUGCCAUUUGGUCUGAGGAAUGCGGGUGCGACGUACCAAAGGUGCAUGAAUCACGUGUUCGGUGAACACAUUGGUCGAACGGUCGAGGCUUACGUCGAUGACAUCGUAGUCAAGACGAGGAAAGCCUCCGACCUCCUUUCCGACCUUGAAACGACAUUCUGGUGUCUCAAGGCGAAAGGCGUAAAACUCAACCCCGAGAAGUGUGUCUUCGGGGUCCCCUGAGGCAUGCUCUUGGGGUUCAUCGUCUCCGAACGGGGCAUCGAGGCUAACCCGGAGAAAAUCGCGGCCAUCACCAACAUGGGGCCCAUCAAGGACUUGAAAGGCGUACAGAGGGUCAUGGGAUGCCUUGCGGCUCUGAGCCGCUUCAUCUCGUGCCUCGACGAAAGAGGGCUACCUCUGUACCGCCUCUUAAGGAAGGCCGAGUGCUUCACUUGGACCCCUGACGCCGAGGAAGCCCUCAGGAACCUGAAGGCGCUCCUCACGAACGCGCCCAUCUUGGUGCCCCCCGCUGCCGGAGAAGCCCUCUUGAUCUACGUCGCCGCUACCACUCAGGUGGUCAGCGCCGCGAUCGUGGUUGAGAGAUGAGAAGAGGGGCAUGCAUUGUCCGUCCAGAGGAUAGUAUACUUCAUCAGUGAGGUACUGUCCGAGACCAUGAUCUGCUACCCACAAAUUCAGAAGUUGUUGUACGCGGUGAUCCUGACGCGGCGGAAGUUGCGACACUACUUCGAGUCUCAUCCGGUGACUGUGGUGUCAUCCUUCCCCCUGGGGGAGAUCAUCUCGUGCCGAGAGGCCUCGGGUAGGAUUGCAAAGUGGGUGGUGGAAAUCAUGGGCGAGACAAUCUCGUUCGCCCCUCGGAAGGCCAUCAAGUCCCAAGUCUUGGCGGACUUUGUGGCUGAAUGGGUCCACACCCAGCUCCCAACGGCUCCGAUCCAACCGGAACUCUGGACCAUGUUUUUCGACGGGUCGCUGAUGAAGACAGGGGCAGGCGCAGGCCUGCUCUUCAUCUCGCCCCUCGGGAAGCACCUACGCUACGUGUUAUGCCUCCACUUCCCGGCGUCCAACAAUGUGGCCGAGUACGAGGCUCUGGUCAACGGGUUGCGCAUCGCCAUCGAGCUAGGGGUCCGACGCCUCGACGCUCGCGGUGACUCGCAGCUCGUCAUUGACCAAGUCAUGAAGAACUCCCACUGCCGCGACCCGAAGAUAGAAGCCUACUGCGAUGAGGUUCGGCGCCUGGAGGACAAGUUCUAUGGGCUCGAGCUCAACCACAUCGCCCGACGAUACAACGAGACUGCGGACGAGCUGGCUAAGAUAGCCUCGGGGCGAACAACGGUUCCCUCGGACGUCUUCUCCCGAGACCUACAUCAGCCCUCAAUCAAGACCGACGACACGCCCGAGCCCGAGAAGGCCUCGGCCCAGCCCGAGGCACCCUCGGCUCCCGAGGGUGAGGCACUGUGCGUCGAGGAAGAGCGGAGCGGGGUCACGCCUAAUCGAAACUGACAGACCCCGUACCUGCAAUAUCUCCACCGAGGAGAGCUGCUCCUCGACCGAGCCGAGGCUCGGCGACUGGCGCGGCGCGCCAAGUCAAUCGUCUUGCUGGGGGACGAGAAGGGGAUCUACCACCGCAACCCCUCAGGCAUCCUCCAGCGAUGCAUAUCCAUCGCCGAAGGCCAGGAGCUCUUACAAGAAAUACACUCGGGGGCUUACGGUCACCACGCAGCGCCCCGAGCCCUUGUUGGAAACGCCUUCCGACAAGGUCUCUAUUGGCCGACCGCGGUGGCCGACACCGCUAGAAUUGUCCGCACCUGCCAAGGGUGUCAAUUCUACGCAAGGCAGACCCACCUGCCCGCUCAGGCUUUGCAGACGAUACCCAUCACCUGGUCGUUUGCUGUAUGGGGUCUGGACCUCGUUGGCCCCUUGCAGAAGGCACCCGGGGGCUACACGCACCUCCUGGUCGCCAUCGAUAAAUUCUCCAAGUGGAUCGAGGUCCGGCCCUUGAACAGCAUCAGGUCCGAACAGGCGGUGGCAUUCUUCACCAACAUCAUCCAUCAUUUCGGGGUCCCGAACUCCAUCAUCACCGACAACGGCACCCAGUUCACCGGCAGAAAGUUCCUGGACUUCUGCGAGGAUCACCACAUCCGGGUGGACUGGGCCGCCGUGGCUCACCCCAUGACGAAUGGGCAAGUAGAGCGUGCCAACAGCAUGAUUCUGCAAGGACUCAAGCCACGGAUCUACAACGACCUCAACAAGUUCGGCAAGCGAUGGAUGAAGGAGCUCCCCUCGGUGGUCUGGAGUCUGAGGAUGACGCCGAGCCGAGCCACGGGCUUCACACCGUUCUUUCUAGUCUAUGGGGCCAAGGCCAUCUUGCCCACAGACUUAGAAUACGGUUCCCCGAGGGCGAGGGCCUACGACGACCAAACCGAUCGAACAAAUCGAGAAGACUCACUGGACCAGCUGGAAGAGGCUCGGGACAUGGCCUUACUACACUCGGCGCGGUAUCAGCAGUCCCUGCGACGCUACCACGUCCGAGGGGUUCGGUCCCGAGACCUCCAGGUGGGCGACUUGGUGCUUCGGCUGCGACAAGACGCCCGAGGGCGGCACAAGCUCACGCCUCCCUGGGAAGGGCCGUUCGUCAUCGCCAAGGUUCUGAAGCCUGGGACAUACAAGCUGGCCAACAGUCAAGGCGAGGUCUACAGCAACGCUUGGAACAUCCGACAGCUACGUCGCUUCUACCCUUAAGAUGCUUUCAAGUUGUUCAUACACCUCGUUCACAUACGAAGUCUAACCAUCAAGGAAGGGUUAGCCUUGCCUCGGCAAAGCCCGACCCUCCCUCGGGGGCUAGAAGGGGGGAACCCCCUCUGCGUCAAAAUUUUCCUCGGAAAAAGUCUUUUCUGCCAUAACGACUUUCGUGCUUUUCGACUACUUCGAAAGUGGGAUCCUGAAAACGACGGAGUACACGUAAGCAGCCAAGGUUGACCGAGCCGAGGGACUCCUACGCCUCUGGGAUACGGAUACCUCACUCAUCACCUUCCGUGAAAAGUAACUCUCGCUCGGACAAACAAUUCUGUUACCGAUAGAUAAGUCUUGAUAUCCGAAACAAGAGGAAAAAGAAAUGCAGCUUUACAACACAACGACAGUAUGUUUGGGCCUCGGCGGCCGCAGAAAACAUACGCGCACUACAAGAUAAACCGAUCCUGCAGGCUCAGACCUUGACGGAGGGGGAGUAGCAGCACCCUCGGCAUCAACUACACCUUCGGUGGAGUCCGACCGAGCCUCGGACGACAACACGGUCAAAGGAUCUCUGCUCCGAAGGACGACAUCAGCACCACGCCCGGGCCAUCGCCGCCAGGGUCUCCUCUAGGAAUCCGGCCAGAGCAGACGGCUCGGCCGGCCCGAAGCCUCAGCCAGCUGUCCUCCGAGGACAUCAGCCCGGCUCAUGGCCUCGGCAACUCAACUCCAGCGCUGGUCCCACCGGUGGACGGCCCGGUCAGGCUUCGGCCGACGAAGUCUACUUUUCGAGCCAACUCUGCCUCUGUCCACAAUGACACCACUGCCUCCGGCUUCGGCUCAUCGAAGAGCGGCCGAGGGUUCCUUUAACUAAACAAGAGAAGCCUCGGGCAGCAAGGUCGACCAAGCCGAGGGACUCCUACGCCUCCGGGAUACGAAUACCUCACUCGUCACCUUUGCACGAGGCAACUCAUGCUUGGUGAAGCAGUUUAGAUAGCCGACAGGCGAGUCCUAGUGCUCGAAAUGAGGAAAAAACACGGCUCCGUGCCAAAAAUACAUACAUGUUCAGGCCCCGACAGCCACAAUGAACAGACACCGGCAUUCAAGGUGCCAUUACAAACGGAACUCCGGUUCCGCCCCCGCGGGUACGAACAACCCCCCACAUUGGAGGGCUCACGAGGCGACAAGGCCCUAGGUGGCUACCGUCGCCCGCUCCGGCAGCAGCGACAACGACCUCCGCUCCAGAUGGCCAAACUGCAGCGGUAAUGGCCUUAGGGCAGACGCCGCUGCAACAAUGCCCUCGCCCACGUCCCUGAAAGGGAAAUGUGCCCUUGGGCCAUUUCUAAGUGUUUUGGUGAUUUAGUGUCCAACACAAGUGCCUAAGUGUCAAAUGGUGGACAAAGUACAAAUCAAGUAUAAAGGUAUGUUUCUCAGACUUAGUACAUUGUUUUAGUGACUAAUGUAUUGUGUCUAAGUGCUGGAAACAGGAGAAAUCGAAUUGGAGAAGAGAUGGCCUUGUUCAGCCAAAGCCAGCUCUGUCUGGGUGCACCGGACUGUCCGGUGGUGCACCGGACAGUGUCCGGUGCGCCAGGCUGGCUCAGGCGAACUUGCUGCUCUCGGGAAGAAAUUAACGGCGUACGGCUAUAAUUCACCGGACUGUCCGGUGUGCACCGGACAGUGUCCGGUGAGCCAACGGUCGCCGGGCCAACGGUCGGCCGCUUAAUCCGGGCGCGACGCGUGGCCGUGCCAACGGCUAGAAGGGGGCACCGGACUGUCCGGUGUACACCGGACAGUGUCCGGUGCGCCAACGGCUCCAAGGCUACCAACGGUCGGCUUCGCCAAAUAAGGAAGGAAAUCCGCACCGGACAGUGUCCGGUGGUGCACCGGACUGUCCGGUGCGCCAGGCGACAGAAGGCAAGAAUUGCCUUCCCGGAUCGCUCUCAACGGCUCCUAGCUGCCUUGGGGCUAUAAAAGGGACCCCUAGGCGCAUGGAGGAGAACACCAAGCAUUCCUUGAGCACUCUUGAUCACUCACACUCCAUUCUUACACACUUGUUCGACAUUCUAGUGAUUUGAGCUCCGUUCUAGUGUGCUAGUCUUUUGAGCUUAAGUCUGGGCCUUGUGUGUGCGUAUUUGGUGUGAUCUUUGUGUCUUGUGUGAGUUGCUAAUCCCUCCCUUACUCCGUGCUUCUUUGUGAACAUAUUUGUAAGGGCAAGAGACUCCAAGUUGUGGAGAUUCCUUACGAACGGGAUAUAGAAAAGAAAAGCAAACACCAUGGUAUUCAAGUGGGUCUUUGGACCGCUUGAGAGGGGUUGAUUGCAACCCUCGUCCGUUGGGACGCCACAACGUGGAAGUAGGCAAGUGUUGUACUUGGUCGAACCACGGGAUAAACCACUGUGUCUACCUGUGUUGAUUCUCUUAUGGUUAUUGUGUUUCGCUAAGACUCUUCUCUAGCCACUUGGCAAUAAUGUGCUAACGCUUAACCAAGUUUUUGUGGCAUUAAGUUCAAGUUUUACAGGAUCACCUAUUCACCCCCCCUCUAGGUGCUCUCAAUUGGUAUCGGAGCCGUUCUCUUCAAGAAAGGGACUAACCGCCCGAAGAGAUGGAUCCUAAGGGCAAGGGGAUUGUGAUCAAUGUCAAGGAGAAGGAGUCACUCGUCAACGAGCCCAAGGAAGACAAGCCUACCGACUCGGGCUCGGGCCACAAAUGCAAAGAUGGGAAGAAGAAGAAGACAAGACGCAUCAAGGAGAUCGUCUACUACGAUGACAGCGAUGAGUCCACUUCUUCCCAAAAGGACAACGACGACAACGACUACGAGAGAAGGAAACCGGUUAAUUCGAACUUUUCUUUUGACUACUCUCGUAUUCCGCAAAGUACAAAUGCUCAUUUGCUCUCCAUUCCACUUGGCAAACCUCCUCACUUUGAUGGAGAGGACUACGGAUUUUGGAGCCACAAAAUGCGUAGUCACCUGUUCUCUCUCCAUCCGAGCAUAUGGGAGAUUGUGGAAAGUGGAAUGAAAUUUGAUAGCUCGGAUAGUCCUAUGUUUAUCAAUGAACAGAUUCAUAGAAAUGCACAAGCUACUACUGUGUUGUUAGCCUCUCUGUGCAGGGACGAGUAUCAUAAGGUGAGCGGCUUGGACAAUGCCAAGCAGAUCUAGGACACCCUCAGGAUCUCACAUGAGGGGAACGACGUCACCUUACUCACCAAAAUGGAGUUGGUGGAGACGAGCUUGGAAGAUUCGCAAUGAUCAGGGGAGAGGAGCCAACCCAAACAUACAACCGGCUCAAGACCCUCAUCAACAAGAUAAGGAGCUACGGAAGCACACGAUGGACGGACCACGACGUCGUUCGUCUAAUGCUAAGGUCCGUUACUGUACUUGAUCCACAUUUGGUGAACAAUAUCCGUGAAAAUCCUAGGUACACCAAGAUGUCGCCCGAAGAAGUUCUUGGGAAAUUUGUAAGCGGGCGAAUGAUGAUCAAGGAGGCAAGAUAUGUCGACGACGCGUUGAGCGGUCCAAUCCAUGAGCCUCAACCCAUUGCUCUCAAGGCAACGAGGAGCAAGGUGGCGCAAGUUGAGGCGGCCGGGCUCAAUGAUGAAGAGAUGGCCCUCAUCAUCAAGCGCUUCAAGACGGCGCUAAAGGGUCGCAAGGGGCAGCCAAGCAAGACCAAGACAAAGGGAAAGCGCUCAUGCUUCAAAUGUGGUAAGGUUGGUCAUUUUAUUGCUAACUGUCCCGACAAUGAUAGUGACCAGGAACAAGGGAACAAGAGGGAGAAGAAGAAGAACUAUAAGAAGGCAAAAGGCGAGGCACAUCUUGGCAAGGAGUGGGACUCGGAUUGUUCGUCGUGCGACUCCGACAACGAAGGACUCGCCGCCACUGCCUUCAACAAGUCAUCCCUCUUCUCCAACGAGCAUCACACUUGCCUCAUGGCAAGGGAAAAGAAGGUAAGUGCUCGUAACACUAGUACUUAUGCUUCUUCAAGUUCGGAUGAGUCUAGUUGUAACGCCCCGAAUUUUGCAGUUGAAUUUUUUUUCUUUUCUUUACUCGCCAAAAUUCGGGCGUUACCUUUUCUUUUUCUUUUUGCCCUCGCUACACCUUGACCUUUUCCAAAGUUCUAGCGGGAUUCGGUUUGGAUUUCCCGUGUAAGAAAAACCCUAAAUACUUUAUGUUGUUUGAUGCACCAUGCCGAACCUUGCAUUUCUUUUUGAUUGCUUUGAAAGUGCAAAUGCAUUCAUGUAAAAAGAUCGGAUUUCGAAAAUGAGGAGAAGAUCUUUUCUUUCUUUUUUUUUUCUCUCUCUUUCUCUCUCCUCUUUUUCUCUCUCUCCCGCGCCGUGGGCCGACCCCGGCCGGCCCAGCCGCCCCUGGCGCCCCCCCUUGGGCCCAAAAGGCCCAACCGCCCCCCCCCCCACCUCCCCUUUUUUCCCCAAAUUCUUUCUCCCUCCCUCUCAUUUUCUCUCAUUUUCUCUCCCUCACCCUAAGCCGCCGCCGCCCCUACCCCCUGCCCUAGCGCCGCCCCUCCCCGUCGCCGAUCGGCCGCCCCGCUCGGCCGCCCCGCCCCGUCCCCGUCGCCGGUGAGCCCCCUCCCCCUCUCCUCCCUUCCCCAUUUCCCCCCCCUCCCCUUUCCCCUUGCCGCUCGGCGCCUUGGCCGCCGCCAUGGCCGGCUCGGCCCGCCCCGCCCGGCCGCGCCCUGGCCGGCUCGGCCAGCCCCCAGCCGUGCCCCCCGCCGGCGCGCCCCCUGGCUGCCUUGGCUGCGCGCUCGCCUGGCCGUUUGGCCGGCUCGGCCGCCUGGCCAGCCCGACCCCCCCCCGCGCGCUCGCCUGGCCGCCGGUUCAACCGGGCCGGCUCAGCCGCCCCGCCGCCCAGCUCGCCGCCCAGCCGGCCGGUUCAACCGCCCCUAGGGCCGGUUCAACCGCCCCCCCCUGUUUUUUAUUUUUUUAUUUAUUUUAUUUUAUUUACUUUCUGUGAUCAUAGCUAUUUUAUUUUAAGUAGGCUAAUCGUUGUUCAUAUGCCAUUGAAAUAGGAAGUUUAAUUUAAAAUUCCGUUAUGCUAAUUGAUUCAUGUAGUUAAUUGUUUAUCUCGUGCGAUGUUGAUCAAUUUAAAACGAUUAGGUUCCCACUAGUGCAUAUAACAGAAUUCUUUUGUUAAGAACCAAUUGUAAUUGAUCGUUAGCGCAUAAGAUUUAACCCCCUGCGAGACCCUUUCCCGUUUCUUUCUAACCAUAACAAAUGCGAUAUCGAAUGUCAUACUUGAUGCAUAUUCGUUUUACUUGUUCCCUUGUAUGGUGUACUGUUCUUUUGUAUUAAAUAUGUGGAUGUAUGUAUGUUUGCAAUCGCAUAGAGAACGAUUCGGUCGAAGAGCCCGAGGAACCCGCAGGAGAAGCCCCUGAGCAGCAGUCGUUUGGUGGAGGCAAGUGUCCUUUGACCUAUCUCUGUCCUAUUCAUUCUUUAAUUCACCCCCCGCAUUACAUAUUUAUACCUAAGGAUUGACUAGCUUUUGUUAUCCAUGUCCUUGUUUACCUAUCUGGGUUGGAUUAUUACUGUUUAGCUUUAUGCUAUUGCUCAACUCUAAUCAAUGAACAUGAUGAGAUUAUCUAUGAUACGCUGUUUUCCCUUCUCUUAUUAUGAUGUUGUACUUGUGACCUUCAAGGGGGCUCGAGCGGUUUCUCGAGUGCCUCUCCAUAAGGACCUGUUCUAUGGAUGACCGCCCGGGAAAACAGUGCAACCAUGAGGGUGGAAUGGGGUGCCCUUAGCUGAAUAAUUAGAGGAUCCGGGGUGUAGUUCACUUAGCCGUCGUGCCGUCAAUGGGGCUCGGUGUAUGCGGCUCGCUCUGCCAAGUUUGGGUUCGCCCCUUGGGGAGGAGUGCGGUGCAUUUAGGAAACCUAACGGGUGGCUACAGCCCCGGGGAAUCUUUGUAAAGGCUACGUAGUGAAACCCUGCCUAUUCACCUUGGUAGUGUUUAAGGGUUUGAUCGGCCCGAGGCAAGAGGGAAUCACGGCUUGUGGGUAAAGUGCACAACCUCUGCAGAGUGUUAUGAAACUGAUAUAUCAGCCGUGCUCACGGUUAUGAGCGGCCAAGGGAGCUCCAGUGAUUAGUGGUACUUGAUCAGAGACAUUGUGGUACAGGUGGUUAUGAGAUUGAUGGUUUUGGUUAUGACUAUGGUGCUGGUAAGUGGUAUUCUUUCCGUUUGGAAAGGGUACAUCGGGUUAAUAACUUGGGUAAAUGCUAAAACUUGGCUUUCUACUAGUAAAUAAUAAUCUGACCAACUAAAAGCAACUGCUUGACUUAUCCCCACAUAAAGCUAGUCCACUACAGCCAAACAGGAUACUUGCUGAGUAUGUUGAUGUGUACUCACCCUUGCUCUACACACCAAACCCCCCCCAGGUUGUCAGCAUUGCAACCACUGCUCAGGCGAAGAUGAAGCUGUGGAAGGAGACUUCCAGGAGUUCCAAGAUUACGACGAGUUCUAGGUGUGGGUUAGCGGCAACCCCCAGUCGGCUGCCUGUGAAGGCCGCGUUAUCUACGUUUCUUUUCCGCACUUUGAUUUAUUGUAAGAACUAUAUGGACGUCUCGGACGUAUGAUGUAAUCGACUAUUUCCCUUAUUAAUACUAUUUUGAGCACUGUGUGAUGAUGUCCAUAUUAUGUAACUGCUGUGUACGUGAAAUAACUGAUCCUGGCACGUACAUGGUUCGCAUUCGGUUUGCCUUCUAAAACCGGGUGUGACAUAAGUGGUAUCAAAGCCGUGCUGACUGUAGGACCGCUAACCUAGAGUAGAAUGGUCGUUCUAAGGACUAUAGACCUCUGUCUCUUCCUUGACUUUGAUAUCCCUUCAAAAGUUGGUCAUACCGACCAAACCUAUGUUCUACUAUAUAUUAUACCUUGCUAAAAAAUUGUGUUUCAUUCUGAUCCUUCAUUUACUUAUUACUUGCUGGUCAUAUUAAUUCUGUUCUCACCCUUUUGCUUGCGAUGUCUUUUGUAGAUGGCUCGACUUAGACACACUGCACGAAAGUCAGUCAUCCCCUUCUUACCCUCCCGCCUUGCUGAGCGUCCGCUUCGCCGUCCCGUGGCCGGACAGUCCAGCCACUUGGAGAGACUACACCACCGCCUGCGUGAGGAGCAGGAACGUCGACGACAGGAGCAGCAGGGCUCUUCUUUCUCGCUCCACCAGGAGAUAGAGUCUGUGAGGAGCUGCUCCCCUGUGCUUCCUCUGGAGCCGCCCCCUGCACCACCACUGGGCGCCCCAGCUUCUGGAGUAGCUGCUGGAGGAGACCCAGACGACGGAGAUGGCGACGACAGCUCGAGCCACGACACCGACUUCUCUACUAACCCUGAGCCGUAAGGAUGGGUUGCUCGACCCACCACUCGCGACGCUGCUCGCGGGUGUCACUUCCACGAUGCGCUCGACACCCUGCUACGUCGGGCAUUUGACCGGCAUACUUGGUCCGUCGAGUAUCGCUGUGUGGUCUACCAGCAUAGUCGUGGGGUCUACCCGGACCGCUGGGAGGCGACUUGCUUGGUGCGCUGCCCGGAGGACAGUCUCCAGGGUGCGGAGGCCUGCUCAGAGCACUAUUCUAUCUCUGAACGGGACUCAGCUGAGGCAGCCAUGCAAGAUGCUGCACGGCGUGCGCUUUCGCACUACUGCUCGGUUUUCGGUGGGGCAGCUGACGGUCUUGACCUGAAGUAUUACCCCCGCCGUCCAUCUGGCAGCACAGGAGGCGUGAUUGUCUCACCUGUCGGUGAGGGCAAUCCUAGGUUGAGCAGCACAGUCAACCUAGCCGCCGUGCUAAACACGGAGCUGGACCAUGCAUUAGACGAGCUGAGUAGGGCUCGUGCUGAGAUCGCCCUGCUGCGGGCUGAGCGCGCGGAACGUCGUCACUUGGAUGGUGGUUCCCCCGCUCCCGUCGGGACUCAGCACCCGUACCGCUCACCUCAGCGUGGACACCAGUCUUAUGGCAAUCCCGCCUGCAAGACCAAGAUAACUCUAGAACCAUAGCUCGUUAGAGUUGGAUCUUGUAAUUAAUACGAAAUAUAUACGUAGAAGCUUCAGUCUUAGCGUUAAUCUCGGUCUUAGUUAGUCUUAGUUAGACAGGGUAGUUUGCUAUAUCCUGUGCAUUUAUGUUUGUCAUGAUGAACUAUGUUUGGUUUGGAUCUUUGUAAUGAUUGUUACCAGAGUGUGGGUACCCCCUGCAUUUUGGUUUACAUACUAUGUUAAUAAAGUUAGUUAUAUAGUUGGGAAACCUUUUAUUCCACUUUCCUCUUUAUCUGAGAAGCUGUGUGGUCUGUGUUGGAGAUCAGUGAAGAUGCUCAUCUGUUCAGUGCUGUUGAAGAAUUCUAUUCUCUUUUCUUAUGCUGCAAGAUUUGCCAGAUCAGUUCUGAUGUGUGGUCGCAUUCUGCAGAUGUCAGAGAACAGGCGUAGAGGAGGAAGGCGUGCUCAGCAGGAGCGAGCCGGUCAGCAAGAUGAGGCGCCCCAGCAGCAGCAGCUGCCGCCCCCGCCCCCGAUGUCGAUCGAGCAGAUGUUUCUGAUGCAGACUCAGGCAGUUCAGGCCAUCGGUCAGACUUUGGCCGCCAUUCAGCAGCAGCAGCAGCAGCAGCAGCAAGCACCACCUCAGCCUCAGAUGCCUCAGAUGCCCAGAGACAAGCGUGCCGAAUUCAUGAGAGGUCAUCCACCAACGUUUGCUCACUCUUCUGACCCCAUGGAUGCUGAAGAUUGGCUGCGCACUGUGGAGCGGGAGUUGCAUACCGCUCAGUGCGAUGACAGGGAGAAAGUCUUGUAUGGUCCCCGUCUGUUGAGAGGAGCAGCCCAAUCAUGGUGGGAGUCUUACCUCGCCACCCAUGCCAACCCCGACACCAUCACCUGGGAAGAAUUCCGAGGUAGCUUUCGUCAGUACCAUGUGCCUGCAGGUCUGAUGACAGUGAAGAAAGAGGAGUUCCUGGCUCUCAAGCAAGGGCCAUCAUCUGUCAGUGAGUACCGGGACAGGUUUCUGCAAUUGUCUCGCUAUGCUCCUGAAGAUGUCAACACCGAUGCCAAGCGGCAGUACCGUUUCCUGAGAGGCUUGGUUGACCCUUUGCAGUAUCAACUGAUGAAUCAUACCUUCCCGACAUUCCAGCACCUAAUUGAUAGAGCGAUCAUGACAGAGAGAAAGCGUAAGGAGAUGGAGGAUCGUAAGCGCAAGAUUAGUGGACCCCAGCCUGGAAGCAGCAGUCGUCCUCGUUUUUCAGGCAAUCAACCUCAGCAGUUCAGGCAGAACCAGCGUCCACCUCAGCAGCAUCAGCAGUUUCAAAGGCAGUACCCUCAGAAUCAGUACCAGAACCGUCAGAGCAAUCAGUCAGGAGGUCAGUUUCAGAAGCAGAAUCAGCAAGCACCUCGUCUUCCUGCCCCAGCAAACCAGCAGAACAAUCAGGCAGCACCAGCUCAGGUUGGAAACAGGGCAUGUUUCCACUGUGGAGAGCAGGGCCAUUGGGUGAUGCAAUGUCCGAAGAAGGCAGCCCAGCAGCAGUCAGGCCCCAAUGCCCCAGCGAAGCAGAAUGUGUCUCAGCCUGGAGCAGGCAAUCGCCCUCAGCCGCGCUAUAAUCAUGGAAGAUUGAAUCACUUGGAAGCUGAAGCAGUUCAGGAGACCCCCGGCAUGAUAGUAGGUAUGUUCCCAGUCGACUCCCAUAUUGCAGAAGUGUUAUUUGAUACUGGAGCAACGCAUUCUUUCAUUACUGCAUCAUGGGUAGAAGCACAUAAUCUUCCAAUUACUACCAUGUCAACCCCCAUUCAAAUUGACUCAGCCGGUGGUAGAAUUCGAGCCGAUAGCAUUUGUUUGAAUAUAAGUGUGAAAAUAAGGGGGAUAGCGUUUCCCGCCAACCUUAUAGUAAUGGGUACUCAGGGAAUAGAUGUCAUCCUAGGGAUGAAUUGGCUAGAUAAGUAUCAGGCAGUUAUCAGUUGUGAUAAAAGGACAAUCAAGUUGGUGUCCCCACUAGGAGAGGAAGUGGUGACCGAGUUAGUCCCGCCUGAGCCAAAGAAAGGAAGUUGUUAUCAGAUGGCUGUCGAUAGCAGUGAAGCAGACCCAAUUGAGAGUAUCAAGGUAGUGUCUGAGUUCCCGGAUGUGUUUCCAAAGGACUUACCGGGUAUGCCACCAGAGCGGAAAGUUGAGUUUGCUAUAGAGCUUUUUCCCGGAACCGCCCCCAUCUUUAAGAGAGCUUACAGAAUAUCUGGACCAGAGUUGGAUGAACUUAAGAAGCAAAUUGAUGAGCUGUCAGAGAAAGGUUACAUUCGGCCAAGCACCUCGCCUUGGGCCGCCCCUGUCUUGUUCGUGGAAAAGAAAGAUGGUACCAAGAGGAUGUGUAUUGAUUACCGAGCUUUGAAUGAGGUCACGAUCAAGAACAAGUAUCCUUUGCCCAGGAUUGAAGAUCUGUUCGACCAGUUGAGAGGAGCCAGUGUGUUCUCCAAGAUUGAUCUGAGGUCAGGUUAUCAUCAGCUCAGGAUCCGACCUUCGGACAUUCCGAAGACGGCAUUCAUUACCAAGUAUGGGUUGUACGAGUUCACAGUGAUGUCUUUUGGUUUGACCAAUGCGCCAGCAUUCUUCAUGAACUUGAUGAACAGUGUAUUCAUGGAUUACCUUGAUAAGUUUGUGGUGGUAUUCAUUGAUGAUAUUCUGGUUUAUUCUCAAAGCGAAGAAGAGCAUGCAGACCAUUUGAGGAUGGUAUUGCAGAGAUUGCGAGAGCACCAGUUGUACGCAAAGUUGAGCAAGUGUGAGUUCUGGAUCAGCGAAGUCCUGUUCUUGGGUCAUAUAAUCAACAAAGAAGGAUUGGCUGUUGAUCCGAAGAAAGUGGCAGACAUUUUGAACUGGAAAGCGCCAACAGAUGCUAGAGGAAUCAAGAGUUUCAUUGGAAUGGCCGGAUAUUAUCGGCGAUUCAUUGAAGGGUUUUCGAAAAUUGCGAAGCCAAUGACAGCGUUGCUAGGCAACAAAGUUGAGUUCAAGUGGACCCAGAAAUGCCAAGAGGCCUUUGAAGCGCUGAAAGAGAAGUUGACUACAGCGCCUGUCCUAGUCUUGCCUGAUGUGCACAAGCCCUUCUCGGUGUAUUGUGAUGCUUGUUACACAGGUUUGGGAUGUGUGUUGAUGCAAGAGGGAAGAGUUGUGGCUUACUCGUCCCGACAGCUGAAGGUUCAUGAGAAGAACUACCCAAUCCAUGACCUAGAGUUGGCAGCAGUGGUUCACGCACUGAAGUCAUGGAGGCACUAUUUGUAUGGACAGAAAUGCGAUGUUUACACAGAUCACAAGAGUCUGAAGUACAUAUUCACUCAGUCGGAGUUGAACAUGAGGCAACGAAGAUGGUUAGAGUUGAUCAAAGAUUAUGAGUUGGAGAUCCAUUACCAUCCAGGCAAAGCAAACGUAGUGGCAGAUGCUUUGAGCAGAAAGAGUCAAGUCAAUCUGAUGGUCGCUCGUCCGAUGCCUUAUGAGUUGGCCAAAGAGUUUGACAGGUUGAGUCUCGGAUUUCUGAACAAUUCGCGAGGAGUCACAGUUGAAUUGGAACCUACCUUGGAGCGAGAAAUCAAAGAAGCGCAGAAGAAUGAUGAGAAAAUCAGUGAGAUCCGGCGACUGAUUCUAGAUGGCAGAGGCAAAGAGUUUCGAGAAGAUGCAGAAGGCGUGAUAUGGUUCAAAGACCGCUUGUGUGUUCCCAAUGUCCAGUCUAUUCGGGAGUUGAUUCUCAAGGAAGCUCAUGAGACAGCCUAUUCGAUUCACCCUGGUAGUGAGAAGAUGUAUCAGGAUCUGAAGAAGAAAUUCUGGUGGUACGGAAUGAAAAGGGAGAUCGCAGAGCAUGUGGCUAUGUGUGAUAGUUGUCGAAGAAUUAAGGCAGAACACCAGAGACCUGCUGGAUUGUUGCAACCGUUGCAGAUCCCUCAGUGGAAAUGGGAUGAAAUUGGUAUGGAUUUCAUAGUCGGAUUGCCUCGCACUCGAGCCGGCUACGAUUCCAUUUGGGUAGUAGUGGACCGCUUGACCAAGUCAGCCCACUUCAUACCUGUCAAGACCAAUUACAACAGUGCAGUAUUGGCAGAGUUGUAUAUGUCUCGGAUCGUUUGUCUUCAUGGUGUGCCAAAGAAGAUAGUGUCAGACAGAGGAACGCAGUUCACCUCUCAUUUCUGGCAGCAGUUGCAUGAAGCCUUGGGCACACAUCUGAAUUUCAGUUCAGCUUAUCACCCGCAGACAGAUGGCCAGACCGAAAGAACCAAUCAAAUUCUUGAAGACAUGUUGAGAGCCUGUGCGUUGCAAGAUCAGUCCGGAUGGGACAAGCGAUUGCCUUAUGCAGAGUUUUCCUAUAACAACAGUUACCAGGCCAGUUUGAAGAUGUCACCGUUUCAAGCACUUUAUGGAAGGAGUUGUAGAACUCCGUUGCAAUGGGAUCAGCCUGGAGAAAAGCAAGUGUUUGGGCCAGACAUUUUGCUCGAAGCCGAAGAGAACAUCAAGAUGGUUCGAGAGAAUCUGAAGAUAGCGCAAUCGAGACAGCGAAGCUAUGCAGACACAAGAAGAAGAGAGCUGAGUUUCGAAGUCGGAGACUUUGUCUAUCUGAAAGUGUCACCGAUCAGAGGAGUCAGAAGAUUCGGAGUGAAAGGCAAGCUAGCACCCCGCUACAUUGGUCCGUAUCAGAUUCUUGCAAAGCGAGGAGAAGUGGCCUAUCAGCUCAGUUUGCCCGAGAAUUUGUCUGCUGUGCAUAAUGUCUUUCAUGUGUCUCAGUUGAAGAAGUGCUUGCAUGUGCCAGAAGAGCAGUUGCCAGUGGAAGGUCUUGAGGUCCAGGAGGACUUGACCUAUGUUGAGAAGCCAGCUCAGAUCCUUGAGAUUGCAGAUAGAGUCACCCGAAGGAAGACCAUCAGAAUGUGCAAAGUCAGAUGGAAUCACCACUCUGAGGAAGAAGCAACCUGGGAGCGUGAAGAUGAUCUGAUGGCUAAGUACCCAGAGCUCUUUGCUAGCCAGCCCUGAAUCUCGAGGGCGAGAUUCUUUUAAGGGGGAUAGGUUUGUAACGCCCCGAAUUUUGCAGUUGAAUUUUUUUUCUUUUCUUUACUCGCCAAAAUUCGGGCGUUACCUUUUCUUUUUCUUUUUGCCCUCGCUACACCUUGACCUUUUCCAAAGUUCUAGCGGGAUUCGGUUUGGAUUUCCCGUGUAAGAAAAACCCUAAAUACUUUAUGUUGUUUGAUGCACCAUGCCGAACCUUGCAUUUCUUUUUGAUUGCUUUGAAAGUGCAAAUGCAUUCAUGUAAAAAGAUCGGAUUUCGAAAAUGAGGAGAAGAUCUUUUCUUUCUUUUUUUUUCUCUCUCUUUCUCUCUCCUCUUUUUCUCUCUCUCCCGCGCCGUGGGCCGACCCCGGCCGGCCCAGCCGCCCCUGGCGCCCCCCCCUUGGGCCCAAAAGGCCCAACCGCCCCCCCCACCUCCCCUUUUUUCCCCAAAUUCUUUCUCCCUCCCUCUCAUUUUCUCUCAUUUUCUCUCCCUCACCCUAAGCCGCCGCCGCCCCUACCCCCUGCCCUAGCGCCGCCCCUCCCCGUCGCCGAUCGGCCGCCCCGCUCGGCCGCCCCGCCCCGCCCCGUCCCCGUCGCCGGUGAGCCCCCUCCCCCUCUCCUCCCUUCCCCAUUUCCCCCCCCCCUCCCCUUUCCCCUUGCCGCUCGGCGCCUUGGCCGCCGCCAUGGCCGGCUCGGCCCGCCCCGCCCGGCCGCGCCCUGGCCGGCUCGGCCAGCCCCCAGCCGUGCCCCCGCCGGCGCGCCCCCUGGCCGCCUUGGCUGCGCGCUCGCCUGGCCGUUUGGCCGGCUCGGCCGCCUGGCCAGCCCGACCCCCCCCCCCCCCCCGCGCGCUCGCCUGGCCGCCGGUUCAACCGGGCCGGCUCAGCCGCCCCGCCGCCCAGCUCGCCGCCCAGCCGGCCGGUUCAACCGCCCCUAGGGCAGGUUCAACCGCCCCCCCCCUGUUUUUUAUUUUUUUAUUUAUUUUAUUUUAUUUACUUUCUGUGAUCAUAGCUAUUUUAUUUUAAGUAGGCUAAUCGUUGUUCAUAUGCCAUUGAAAUAGGAAGUUUAAUUUAAAAUUCCGUUAUGCUAAUUGAUUCAUGUAGUUAAUUGUUUAUCUCGUGCGAUGUUGAUCAAUUUAAAACGAUUAGGUUCCCACUAGUGCAUAUAACAGAAUUCUUUUGUUAAGAACCAAUUGUAAUUGAUCGUUAGCGCAUAAGAUUUAACCCCCUGCGAGACCCUUUCCCGUUUCUUUCUAAACAUAACAAAUGCGAUAUCGAAUGUCAUAUUUGAUGCAUAUUCGCUUUACUUGUUCCCUUGUAUGGUGUACUGUUCUUUUGUAUUAAAUAUGUGGAUGUAUGUAUGUUUGCAAUCGCAUAGAGAACGAUUCGGUCGAAGAGCCCGAGGAACCCGCAGGAGAAGCCCCUGAGCAGCAGUCGUUUGGUGGAGGCAAGUGUCCUUUGACCUAUCUCUGUCCUAUUCAUUCUUUAAUUCACCCCCCGCAUUACAUAUUUAUACCUAAGGAUUGACUAGCUUUUGUUAUCCAUGUCCUUGUUUACCUAUCUGGGUUGGAUUAUUACUGUUUAGCUUUAUGCUAUUGCUCAACUCUAAUCAAUGAACAUGAUGAGAUUAUCUAUGAUACGCUGUUUUCCCUUCUCUUAUUAUGAUGUUGUACUUGUGACCUUCAAGGGGGCUCGAGCGGUUUCUCGAGUGCCUCUCCGUAAGGACCUGUUCUAUGGAUGACCGCCCGGGAAAACAGUGCAACCAUGAGGGUGGAAUGGGGUGCCCUUAGCUGAAUAAUUAGAGGAUCCGGGGUGUAGUUCACUUAGCCGUCGUGCCGUCAAUGGGGCUCGGUGUAUGCGGCUCGCUCUGCCAAGUUUGGGUUCGCCCCUUGGGGAGGAGUGCGGUGCAUUUAGGAAACCUAACGGGUGGCUACAGCCCCGGGGAAUCUUUGUAAAGGCUACGUAGUGAAACCCUGCCUAUUCACCUUGGUAGUGUUUAAGGGUUUGAUCGGCCCGAGGCAAGAGGGAAUCACGGCUUGUGGGUAAAGUGCACAACCUCUGCAGAGUGUUAUGAAACUGAUAUAUCAGCCGUGCUCACGGUUAUGAGCGGCCAAGGGAGCUCCAGUGAUUAGUGGUACUUGAUCAGAGACAUUGUGGUACAGGUGGUUAUGAGAUUGAUGGUUUUGGUUAUGACUAUGGUGCUGGUAAGUGGUAUUCUUUCCGUUUGGAAAGGGUACAUCGGGUUAAUAACUUGGGUAAAUGCUAAAACUUGGCUUUCUACUAGUAAAUAAUAAUCUGACCAACUAAAAGCAACUGCUUGACUUAUCCCCACAUAAAGCUAGUCCACUACAGCCAAACAGGAUACUUGCUGAGUAUGUUGAUGUGUACUCACCCUUGCUCUACACACCAAACCCCCCCCCCCCAGGUUGUCAGCAUUGCAACCACUGCUCAGGCGAAGAUGAAGCUGUGGAAGGAGACUUCCAGGAGUUCCAAGAUUACGACGAGUUCUAGGUGUGGGUUAGCGGCAACCCCCAGUCGGCUGCCUGUGAAGGUCGCGUUAUCUACGUUUCUUUUCCGCACUUUGAUUUAUUGUAAGAACUAUAUGGACGUCUCGGACGUAUGAUGUAAUCGACUAUUUCCCUUAUUAAUACUAUUUUGAGCACUGUGUGAUGAUGUCCAUAUUAUGUAACUGUUGUGUACGUGAAAUAACUGAUCCUGGCACGUACAUGGUUCGCAUUCGGUUUGCCUUCUAAAACCGGGUGUGACACUAGUGAUGAUGAUGAAAUAGAUUAUUCAUGUUUAUUCAAGGGUCUAGAUAGAACCAAGGUGGAUAAAAUAAAUGAAUUGAUUGAUGCUUUGAAUGAUAAGAAUAGAUUGCUAGAAAAGCAAGAGGAUCUCUUAUAUGAUGAACAUGAUAAGUUUGUAGAAGCUCAAAAAUCCCUUGCUUUAGAAAUAAAGAGGAAUGAAAUGCUUUCUUGUGAAUUGUCUACACGCCAUGACUCUAUUUCUAGUUUAAAAAGCAUAAACGAUGACUUGAAUGCUAAGUUAGAAAUAGCUAAUAAAUCAACAUAUUGUGUAUAACAUGUUGUGGUUUGCACUAGGUGUAAAGAUUUUAAUGGUGAUGCCUGUAGUGAACACCUAGUUUCAAUUUCCAAAUUGAAUGAUGAAGUGGCUAGUCUUAAUGCCCAACUUAAGACUAGCAAAAGCGAAUUUGAUAAGUUAAAAUUUGCAAGGGAUGCCUACACGAUUGGUAGACACCCCUCAAUUAAGGAUGGACUUGGUUUCAAGAGAGAAGCCAAGAACUUAACAAGCCAUAAGGCUCCCAUCCCCGCCAAGGAGAAAGGGAAGGCUCCUAUGGCUAGUAGUGCUAAAAAGAACCAUGCUUUUAUGUAUCAUGAUAGGAGACAUGCUAGAAAUGCAAAUAGAAGUUAUGAUGCUUUUGAUUCACAUGUUUAUGAUUCAUAUGCUAUGUUUGCUUCUAGUUCUUCCUGUAUGCAUGGUAGAAAUGUGUCUAGGAGAAAUGGUGUUAAUGUUCCUAGGAAAAUUAAUGAACCUUCUACAAUAUAUCAUGCUUUAAAUGCUUCCUUUGCUAUUUGUAGAAAGGAUAGGAAGAUAGUUGCUAGAAAAUUAGGGGCAAAAUGCAAGGGAGACAAAACUUGCAUUUGGGUCCCUAAGACAAUUGUGACUAACCUUGUAGGACCCAACAAGAGUUGGGUACCUAAGACCCAAGCCUAAAUUUGCCCUGCAGGUUUAUGCAUCCGGGGGUUCAAGCUGGAUUAUCGACAGCGAAUGCACAAACCAUAUGACGGGGGAGAAGAAGAUGUUCACCUCCUACGUCAAAAACAAGGAUUCCCAAGAUUCAAUAAUAUUCGGUGAUGGGAAUCAAGACAAGGUAAAAGGGUUAGGUAAAAUUGCUAUUUCAUCCGAGCACUCUAUAUCUAAUGUGCUUUUAGUUGAGUCUCUUGGAUAUAAUCUGUUAUCUGUUAGUCAAUUAUGCAAUAUGGGAUAUAAUUGUCUAUUCACAAAUGUAGAUGUGUCUGUCUUUAGAAGAAGUGAUGGUUCAUUAGCUUUUAAGGGUGUAUUAGACGUCAAACUUUACUUUGUUGAUUUUGCAAAAGAGGAGGCCGGUCUAGAUGCAUGCUUAAUUGCUAAGACUAGCAUGGGCUGGCUGUGGCAUCGCCGCUUAGCACAUGUGGGGAUGAAGAACCUUCACAAGCUCCUAAAGGGAGAACACGUGAUAGGUCUAACUAAUGUGCAAUUCGAAAAAGAUAGACCUUGUGCAGCUUGUCAAGCAGGCAAACAGGUGGGAAGCUCUCAUCACACUAAAAAUGUGAUGACCACAUCAAGACCUUUGGAGAUGCUUCACAUGGACCUCUUCAGACCCGUUGCCUAUCUAAGUAUAGGAGGAAGUAAGUAUGGUCUUGUUAUAGUUGAUGACUUUUCCCGCUUCACUUGGGUAUUCUUUUUGCAGGAUAAAUCUGAAACCCAAGGGACCCUCAAGCGCUUCCUAAGGAGAGCUCAAAACGAGUUUGAGCUCAAGGUGAAAAAGAUAAGGAGCGACAAUGGGUCCGAGUUCAAGAACCUUCAAGUGGAGGAGUACCUUGAGGAGGAAGGGAUCAAGCACGAGUUCUCCGCUCCCUACACACCACAGCAAAAUGGUGUGGUAGAGAGGAAAAACAGGACACUUAUAGACAUGGCGAGGACGAUGCUUGGAGAGUUCAAGACCCCCGAGCGCUUUUGGUCGGAAGCCGUGAACACGGCUUGCCACACCAUCAACAGGGUCUACCUUCAUCGCCUCCUCAAGAAGACGUCGUAUGAGCUACUAACCGGUAACAAACCCAAUGUUUCGUAUUUUCGAGUUUUUGGGAGUAAAUGCUACAUUCUAGUGAAGAAGGGUAGGAAUUCCAAAUUUGCUCCCAAAGCCGUAGAAGGGUUUUUGUUAGGUUAUGACUCAAAUACAAAGGCAUAUAGAGUCUUCAACAAAUCAUCGGGUUUAGUUGAAGUCUCUAGCGACGUUGUAUUUGAUGAGACUAAUGGCUCUCCAAGAGAGCAAGUUGUUGAUUUUGAUGAUGUAGAUGAAGAAGAAGUUCCAACGACCGCAAUACGCACCAUGACGAUUGGAGAUGUGCGGCCACAGGAACAAGAUGAACAAGAUCAACCUUCUUCCUCAACAAUGGUGCAACCCCCAACUCAAGAUGAUGAACAGGAGGCGUGUGAUCAAGGGGGAGCACAAGAUGAUCAUGUGAUGGAGGAAGAAGCACAACCGGCACCUCCAACCCAAGUUCGAGCAAUGUUUCAAAGGGAUCAUCCCGUCGACCAAAUUUUGGGUGAUAUCAGCAAGGGAGUAACUACUCGAUCUCGAUUAGUUAAUUUUUGUGAGCAUUACUCCUUUGUCUCUUCUAUUGAGCCUUUCAGGGUAGAAGAGGCCUUGCUAGAUCCGGACUGGGUGUUGGCCAUGCAGGAGGAGCUCAACAACUUCAAAAGAAAUGAAGUUUGGACACUGGUGCCUCGUCCCAAGCAAAAUGUUGUGGGAACCAAGUGGGUGUUCCGCAACAAACAAGACGAGCACGGGGUGGUGACAAGGAACAAGGCACGACUUGUGGCAAAAGGUUAUGCCCAAGUCGCAGGUUUGGACUUUGAGGAGACUUUUGCUCCUGUGGCUAGGCUAGAGUCCAUUCGUAUCUUGCUAGCAUAUGUCGCUCACCAUUCCUUCAGGUUGUUCCAAAUGGAUGUGAAGAGCGCUUUCCUCAACGGGCCAAUCAAGGAGGAGGUGUACAUGGAGCAACCCCCUGGCUUCGAGGAUGAACGGUACCCCGACCACGUGUGUAAGCUCUCUAAGGCGCUCUAUGGACUUAAGCAAGCCCCUAGAGCAUGGUAUGAAUGCCUUAGAGACUUUCUAAUUGCUAAUGCUUUCAAGGUUGGGAAAGCCGAUCCAACUCUUUUCACUAAGACUUGUGACGGUGAUCUUUUUGUGUGCCAAAUUUAUGUUGAUGACAUAAUAUUUGGUUCUACUAACCAAAAGUCUUGUGAAGAGUUUAGCAGGGUGAUGACUCAGAAAUUCGAGAUGUCGAUGAUGGGCGAGUUAAGCUACUUCCUUGGGUUCCAAGUGAGGCAACUCAAGGAUGGAACCUUCAUCUCCCAAACGAAGUACACACAAGAUUUGAUCAAGCGGUUUGGGAUGAAGGACGCCAAGCCCGCAAAGACUCCGAUGGGAACCGACGGACACACCGACCUCAACAAAGGAGGUAAGUCCGUUGAUCAAAAAGCAUACCGGCCUAUGAUAGGGUCUUUACUUUAUUUAUGUGCUAGUAGACCGGAUAUCAUGCUUAGUGUAUGCAUGUGUGCUAGAUUUCAAUCUGAUCCAAGGGAGUGUCACUUAGUGGCCGUGAAGCGAAUUCUUAGAUAUUUAGUCGCUACGCCUUAUUUCGGGAUCUGGUAUCCAAAGGGGUCUACCUUUGACUUGAUUGGAUAUUCAGACUCCGACUAUGCUGGAUGUAUGGUCGAUAGGAAGAGUACAUCGGGGACGUGCCAAUUCUUAGGAAGGUCCCUGGUGUCAUGGAGUUCUAAGAAACAAACCUCCGUUGCCCUAUCCACCGCUGAGGCCGAGUACGUUGCUGCAGGACAGUGUUGCGCACAACUACUUUGGAUGAGGCAAACCCUCAGGGACUUUGGCUACAAUUUGAGCAAAGUCCCACUCCUAUGUGAUAAUGAGAGUGCUAUCCGCAUGGCGGACAAUCCUGUUGAACACAGCCGCACAAAGCACAUUGACAUCCGGCAUCACUUUUUGAGAGACCACCAGCAAAAGGGAGAUAUCGAAGUGUUUCAUGUUAGCUCCGAGAACCAGCUAGCCGAUAUCUUUACCAAGCCUUUAGAUGAGCAGACCUUUUGCAAGUUGCGUAGUGAGCUAAAUGUCUUAGAUUCGCGGAACUUGGAUUGAUUUAUAGCAUACAUGUGUUUAUGCCUUUGAUCAUGUUCCUUUUGCAUUGUGUUGUUUAUGGUGCUCAAGUUGUACAUGCACUCUCCGGACCUCACAAGUCCUUUGCAAGUGAUGCACAAAUUUAGGGGGAGAUGUGCUACAACUUGACCCUUUGAGACAAACUGUGUGCUUGAGUUUUCCUGAUUUAGUCUCGAAGGAGGAUUGAAAGGGAAAAGGUGGACUUGGACCAUGCAAGUCUUCCACUGCACUCCGAUGAAAGAGUAAUUUAUUCCAAGUUCAUCUUUGUACUCUUAUUGCCUUUUUACUCUUAGUUGAAGAUUUUGGUGAGGCAAUGGGGUUAAAGGGCCAAAAUUGAUCCCGUUUUGGUGCUUGAUGCCAAAGGGGGAGAAAAUAAGGCUAAAGCAAUAAAUGGAUCAGCUACCACUUGAGAAUUUUGAAAAAGUAGAGUUAGAGUUUUUGUUUGUCAAAAUACUCUUGUUUACUUCUUAUUAUCAAAAGUUAGUCUCUUGUGGGGAGAAUGGUUGAUUAUUGGAAAUAGGGGGAGUUUUUGAUACUGUGCUCAAUUUCUAUUGGAACAACUCUCUUUAUGUCUCUACAAGUGUGUUUAACUUAGAGAUAGGAAUUUGAGGUUGAUUUGCAAAAACAAACCAAGUGGUGGCAAAGAAUGAUCCAUAUAUGCCAAAUUUGAUUCAAAACAAAAUUAAGUGCUUACUUGAAUUGAUGUUGUACUUGUUCUACUUGCUUUAUGUUGUGUUGGCAUAAAUCACCAAAAAGGGGGAGAUUGAAAGGGAAAUGUGCCCUUGGGCCAUUUCUAAGUGUUUUGGUGAUUUAGUGUCCAACACAAGUGCCUAAGUGUCAAAUGGUGGACAAAGUACAAAUCAAGUAUAAAGGUAUGUUUCUCAGACUUAGUGCAUUGUUUUAGUGACUAAUGUAUUGUGUCUAAGUGCUGGAAACAGGAGAAAUCGAAUUGGAGAAGAGAUGGCCUUGUUCAGCCAAAGCCAGCUCUGUUUGGGUGCACCGGACAGUGUCCGGUGCGCCAGGCUGGCUCAGGCGAACUUGCUGCUCUCGGGAAGAAAUUAACGGCGUACGGCUAUAAUUCACCGGACUGUCCGGUGUGCACCGGACAGUGUCUGGUGAGCCAACGGUCGCCGAGCCAAUGGUCGGCCGCUUAAUCCGGGCGCGACGCGUGGCCGUGCCAACGGCUAGAAGGGGGCACCGGACUGUCCGGUGUGCACCGGACAGUGUCCGGUGCGCCAACGGCUCCAAGGCUACCAACGGUCGGCUUCGCCAAAUAAGGAAGGAAAUCCGCACCGGACAGUGUCCGGUGGUGCACCGGACUGUCCGGUGCGCUAGGCGACAGAAGGCAAGAAUUGCCUUCCCGGAUCGCUCUCAACAGCUCCUAGCUGCCUUGGGGCUAUAAAAGGGACCCCUAGGCGCAUGGAGGAGAACACCAAGCAUUCCUUGAGCACUCUUGAUCACUCACACUCCAUUCUUACGCACUUGUUCGACAUUCUAGUGAUUUGAGCUCCGUUCUAGUGUGCUAGUCUUUUGAGCUUAAGUCUGGGCCUUGUGUGUGCGUAUUUGCUGUGAUUUUUGUGUCUUGUGUCAGUUGCUAAUCCCUCCCUUACUCUGUGCUUCUUUGUGAACAUAUUUGUAAGGGCAAGAGACUCCAAGUUGUGGAGAUUCCUUGCGAACGGGAUAUAGAAAAGAAAAGCAAACACCGUGGUAUUCAAGUGGGUCUUUGGACCGCUUGAGAGGGGUUGAUUGCAACCCUCGUCCGUUGGGACGCCACAACGUGGAAGUAGGCAAGUGUUGUACUUGGCCGAACCACGGGAUAAACCACUGUGUCUACCUGUGUUGAUUCUCUUGUGGUUAUUGUGUUUCGCUAAGACUCUUCUCUAGCCACUUGGCAAUACUGUGCUAACGCUUAACCAAGUUUUUGUGGCAUUAAGUUCAAGUUUUACAGGAUCACCUAUUCACCCCCCCUCUAGGUGCUCUCAGUCCCCACUCGAGGGGCGAGGACAAGCUAUCAAAGCCAAAGAGCCGGAGGCCCGGAGCGCGGAUGGUGGCGGUGAUCCCGUUGGUGAUGAGGACUUCUUCAGCCGCCACCACCUCAGCGCCGGCGACGGAAGCCAUCUGCCCACCGGCAGAUCCCCACUCGGAUCCUCCCGGACGAGCAAAGCACUGACCUCCGCACAGAGGCGCCGUACCGGGGCAAAGGCAGGACAGCCCCAGAACACGAACGCCGCCCUAGCAGCGCGCGAUGUCUUGGGCGGUCCUCCGAUGCGCGCGGCGCGACAACCGCUCUCGCGGCGGGAGGGGGCACAGGGAGCCGAGCCAGAGCCAGCUGAGCCAGCGAGCCCAACGCGCUGAAGCUGACGACGCUCGCCACCAAUCAGCCCCGCGUUGUCGAAGUCCGACCCUCCCGCUAGGCUGGUGAGCGCCCUCUCCCUUGAAUACUGAGGGAGAAGGUGACCCACAAACCCGCGCGGGAGGUAGAGCUCCGGCUCAGCCCGGCCUCCGCCCCAGCCAGGAUGAUGAAGAUCCUUGAAGCUGAGGACGGGACCAAGAUCGCAGCCCGGCUCGCUUCUCCCCACCAUCGAACUGGUGGUCACCGUCUUGGGUGACCACCGGCGAGGGGAUGCAGUCGGGCUGCCUGAUGAAAAUCCUUGAAGCCGAGCGAUGGCUGAAAGGUACCAACUUCCUUGAAGUUGUGUUCCUCCAAUGAUAAGGCGGAAGAACUGCGAGUGUUCCCCAUCCGGGGGCUCGGAAGGUGGAAAGACGCGAUGCAUAAGGGGAGCGCGAAGAAAUGGUUGCCUUUCGAGGGGGUCACCCUCCUUUUAAAGGCAAUUCUCCCCACUUGCGUCCUCAGCCGUCGCGGGCUGAGUCUUCUCCAACACGCUCCAAGGACCUCCCCCUACGACACGGGGGCUGGGUCCCACGCGUCGCGCAAGCCGGCCCAAGACAGAAGGAGCCAAAACCGCCGCACGCGGUGCGCGUAACUGCCCGGCGGUUACAAGCAUUCCUCCACUUUCGCCCAGACCAGCGAGCGAAAGGGCGGACCGCCAUGCAGGCGACAUGCAACCGCACCAAGGGGGCGCACCCUUUCGACUUCGACGCGUCCAGCAUGGAGGCCCAGGCCCACACGUCAUGUAACCGGCGCGCCGGUUACUACGUGCAAGAAACUGCACCGCCACUACUCGUGCCACUACCGUGCCUCCUCGACUGCGGAACCAGUACCGCGACUCGAGGCAACCCAGCGCAUGACCCAACGGUGCCAACCGAGCACAUCAGCCACGGGUCAGUCAGCCGUGGGAGAAGGCGCGACGGCGGAUACGGCCAGAAAUGGGCCAGCAGUAAUGGCGGUGGCAGGCGGGCGGAAGCAGCAGUCAAGUCGUCAGCAAGCUCACGUCCCCUCCUGGGACAGCGAGAGAACCCUCUCCCACGGCGUGAAGACGACGCACUCGUGUUCCGUCCCUCGAACGGCUCGCGCACGCGCAACGGCCGCCCCGUGAACCACUCGUCCCGUCGCAUUAACUCUGCGGCAGGACGAGCGGCACCUUUGGCGGGCGAAGCAGGCGACGCUUCACCUCCGCCAUAAUGACCGCGUCAAAAAAGGUACGCCACGUCAUUCGAUUUCGUAUCCCUUUCCACUUCCUCUUUCUCUCUCUCUUGCCACAGGGAUCGGGAAAGGGGAUACCCCGAAAGGGAUCCUUCUCUGCGAAGGAAGCGGGCCCCGAGCCCCCCUACUGAUCAGAGAUUCAAAGGCUGGCCCCUCGGAAGGGUUCAACAGCCGCCUCAGAGCACUCGGGCUCCGCGCCCACUAUUGGUCAGAGGUUCGAAGGCCGGCCCCUCGAAAGGGUUCAACGGCCGCCUCAGGCCACUCGGGCUUCGCGCCCACUACUGAUCAGGGGUUCGUAGGCUGGCCCCCGAAGGGUUCGACAGCCGCCUCAGACGCAGAGCGAGGGAUGACCCUGGGUACGUUCGAUACAUAACCAAGGCUCGGGCUACGCUCCCGAAGUACCCUAGGACAUUUCCGAGACCUACGGAAAAGAUCUUGUAACGGAAUCCCACCAGAGGGAGGCAUCGAGCCCUCGGACCCCGUCAAAAGGGGACCGGGUCUGGCAAAUCACCCGCAGGUACUUUUGGAGCGCGCCUCCGGGCCACUAGCCGACCCCUAACGAAUGGGGCACGGGCGUCCACUCGGAUUACCCGUUAGCAGCUCGCUGGAGACACCAUGCCCGGCGCCCUCCAAGGGCAACAUGGCGCUUCCCCCCCCUCCUCCUUGCGGAAAGGCGACGCAGUGGCGUAUGAAAAAAGCCGAGUCUGUCCUUGACCGUCCUCUCGCCCUGUGCGGAGGCUCGGGGGCUGCUCUCGCAAACCCGGCUCCGGCCAAACCGUUGACAGCGUCAACAUACCAGCCCGAGAACUUGGGACUCGAUUGUGCACCCGGGCUACGGCCAGUUCGCAUGAGGGAACAACCAGACUAGCUGAAGCAUCACGAAACACAUUAAGACCUCGAAGGAGUCAAACCACUCCUCCGAGGCCUCGGGGGCUACACCCGGCGGGUGCGCUCGCGCGCACCCACCGGAACAAAACGCAACCGGGAAAGGCCGGUCCCCUUGCAAAAAAGUGCGACAAAAGCCUCCAAGCGAGUAUUAACACUCCCUUCGAGGCUCGGGGGCUACUGUCGGGGACCAUAAUUAGGGGUACCCCCAAGACUCCUAAUCUCAGCUGGUAAGCCCCCAUCAGCACAAACCUGCAAAGGCCUGAUGGGUCCGAUUAAGUCAAGGCUCGGUCCACUCAAGGGACACGAUCUUGCCUCGCCCGAGCCCAGCCUCGGGCAAGGGCAGCCGACCCCGGAGGAUUUACGUCUCGCCCGAGGGCCCCCUCAGGCAACGGACACACCUUCGGCUCGCCCGAGGCCCAGUCUUCGCCAAGAAGCAACCUUGGCCAGAUCGCCACGCCGACCGACCGUAUCGCAGGAGCAUUUAAUGCAAGGAUGGCCUGACACCUUAUCCUGACGCGCGCUCAUCAGUCGACAGAGCCGAAGUGACCGCAGUCACUUCGCCGCUCCACUGACCGACCUGACAAGAAGACAGCGCCGCCUGCAUCGCUCCGACUGCUGUGCCGCUCGACAGAGUGAGGCUGACAGCAGCCAAGUCUGGCCUCGGGCGCCAUAGGAAGCUCCGCCUCGCCCGACCCCAGGGCUCGGACUCGGGCUCGGCCCCGGAAGACGACGAACUCUGCCUCGCCCGACCCCAGGGCUCGGACUCGGGCUCGGCCCCGGAAGACGACGAACUCCGCCUCGCCCGACCCCAGGGCUCGGACUCGGCCUCGGCCCCAGACGACGGUCUCCGCCUUGCCCGACCUGGGGCUCGGACUCGACCUCGACCUCGGAAGACAGACUCGACCCCGACCUCGGAGGAGCCUCCGCCUCGCCCGACCCGGGGCUCGGACUGACCACGUCACAGGAGGGGCCAUCAUUACCCUACCCCUAGCUAGCUCAGGCUACUGGGAACAAAACCGGCGUCCCAUCUGGCUCGCCCCGGUAAACAAAUAAUGAUGGCGCCCCGCAUGCUUCAUGACGACGGCGGCUCUCAGCCCCUUACGGAAGCAAGGAGACGUCAGCAAGGACUCGACAGCCCCGACAGCUGUCCUUCCGCAAGGCUCCAAUGCUCCUCCGACGGCCACGACAUCACAUGAACAGGAUGCCAAAACCUCUCUAGCUGCCACGACGGCAUGUACUUAGGGCGCUAGCUCCUCUCUGCUAGACACGUUAGCACAUUGCUACACUCCCCAUUGUACACCUGGACCCUCUUCUUACGCCUAUAAAAGGAAGGUCCAGGGCUCUCUUACGAGAAGGUUGGCCGCGCGGAAGAGGACGGGACGGCACGUGCACGCCUCUCGCUCCCUCCACGUGGACGCUUGUAACCCCCUACUGCAAGCGCACCCGACCUAGGCGCGGGACAACACGAAGGUCGCGGGUUUCCCCUUUUUACGCCUGUCUCCCUCUAGCUUCCCCCCUUCAUGCUCCGUCUCGUGCCGACCCAUCUGGGCUGGGGCACGCGGCGACAGUUUACUCGUCGGACCAGGGACCCCCCGGGGUCGAAACGCCGACAAGAAUGAUAUUGCUAAAUUUACAGUAUGCACUAUAGAGGAUCCCAGAACAUUGUUGUAUCUGAGGCCUCCAGAAAAUGUCUGCUCAAUUAAUGAACUGGCAGAUCUCUGGGAAACAGAAGAGCAGCUUCUUGAAGGAAUCGAUGGUAAAUUGAAACUACUAAAAGUUAGGUGGUAAUUAUAUUUGUUUUGCUUUUGUUAAAGCCCUAUCGUCGAGUGUGUUUUCUUGAAAUUUAAUCAAUUCAUUUUCAAUUUAAGCUUUAAGCUACUGUCGACAGAUAUAAUGUAGUUCAAGUUUGAUGAAGUUACCGAUGCAGUUUUCUGAUCUGUCCAUUUUAGUUUUUUAUGCGUUCACCUAAAUAACUGUAAGUAUAUUUGAUCAUGGAGUAGAAGCUUGCUGCUAUGUCUAUGGAAAACAGAGCUGGAAAAAGCAGUGAAAAAACUAUUAAAGCUCUCUUUCCUAGUUGCAAAUUGCAAAUCAAUUUCUGAAAGACUUAUGUUUCUUGCAUAAAUCAUCUACUCUCAUUCUUUCUUUCUCCUCAUUGCAGAUGCUCCAUUUCCCUUGAAGAUGGAUUUAAUUUUUAUAUAGUCAAUAUUUGUUAAGAGUGAUCAUACGUAUUUUGAAUUCGACUUGUCAAUGGAAGGAACUCAACCGUAAAUUACACAACAGUGAACGAGUAGUAUUUGACAUCAGAUGUGAACCAGAAGAGGAGAGAAUCAACUCACCAGGAGGCCAAGCCACCGCUCCCAGUCGACAGGCACCAUUACCUCGAGGUCCAUGACCUCAUCCUCCGCGGCCCCAUCGCCAAGAAGAUCCAUCGCCACGAUAUCCUACCUUCUCUUCUUCCCCACCUCAAGCUGCCUCCGAUGUCAUCCACACCCAGUGGUGGAGCGGCGGGGAGGAGCCACCGGAGAAAUAUGGGGAUGUGGUCGCCGAGUAGUCGCGCACAAUGGUGGUCGCCGAGAAGGAGGCGAAGAGGUCGGCGAGGCGGUCGUAGAGGAAGUACGGAUCGAGGUUGAUGGGAUGGGGUCGGGUGGCGGCAGGCCCAAUGCUCACUCAUCUCCCGAGAGGCAGGGGUUUCCGGCGGGCGUCGUAGCGACGUGGCGAUGGGUAGAGAGGGGUCGUCUGGGGAUGCGGUGAGCGCAAGCGGAGGAGGAACCGAGGCACCACUCUGCAACUGGAGGAGAUGACGAGACGGAAGGAGAGUGUGGGUACAGGGGGCGGGGGCGGAGCCAACAGAAGUCUGCUGCAACGUACGUUGACGGGGGCAUGGCGGGCUGGUUAGCGGGGGCUGGGGAGUGGGCGCGGAGCGUGGGGAUGACAAUGAGGCGAAGGUCACAACAGGCGUGGAGCAGGGCGCUGAGGACGAGGGGCCGCGAUGGAGGUCGCGACGGGGGCAGGGGCGGGCAACGCGACGAUGGAGGCUCGGAUGGAAGGCCGACGACGGGCGCGAGGUUGGGCAAGACGGGCGACAGAGAUAUCGCGUGGGCGAGGGGCAAAGGCGGGGCUUAGCAAAUGGGGAAGACGACAUCGAUGGAAAGGAGCGCGGCGUGCGGGCGGGAUGCGGAACCGGCAGAAAUGUAGUCUUCUUUAGCUUUACCAUUCCAGAUAUCAGAAGUUAGAGAAACUGAUGAACAGAUUUAAAUGACUCAAUAAGCAUAAGCACACAUUCAUUGUAAAGCCUAAUUAGAUCUCUAGUUGUGGUUUGCCUAGAAGACUUCACAAAUUUAGGAUUAUGUGCUUUAAUAAUGUACUCUUGAAAAUGAUCAGAUUCACCAAACCAUAAAGGCAAAUCCUCUCUAGCUAUCAAACGACAUAAUUCAGUUCUAGCAACAGCAGGAGAGUACUCCCAUCGAACUAGAGAACCAUCAGGAUUGUACUUAAGAAGAGACUGAACAAUGCCACUACGUUGUUGUUCCUUUUUAGCAGUGCAAUUAUGCCGAAGCAAAUGGCUAGCCCCACAACUAGAUUUAGCAUUGAAGGUCUGCUUACAAUAUUUGCAAAGGGCACCAUACCUUACCCUCUUACCAUUGACGAGAUUAGUCACCUCUUCAAGUCAUUCCAGACUUUGGAUCUCUUCCUUGAUGCAUUAGCACCGGUGCUACCAUCAGUAUCACGACGACUUACUAGCGACUUGUUGUGGCCCACAUCGGC